rnacentral:tRNA from 1 species
GGAGAUGUAGCUCAGUGGUAGAGCGGUCGACUGCAGAUCGACAGGUCGUGAGUUCAAUUCUCACCGUCUCCU